rnacentral:rRNA from 1 species
CAAUAGCGUAUAUUAAAGUUGUUGCAGUUAAAAAGCUCGUAGUUGGAUUUCAGAGUGAGCUCGUCCGGUCGGCCUAAAUGGUCUGAACUGGUUGACUCUCUCUUGCUUGUGGAUCCCGCCCGGAGUUAACUCUUCGGAUGUGGACUUCACAUCGUUUACCUUGAAAAAUUAGAGUGUUCAAAGCAGGCGUAUGCUUGAAUAUAUUAGCAUGGAAUAAUGGAAUAGGACCCUGGUUCUAUUUUGUUGGUUUUGAGGACCAGAGUAAUGAUUAAUAGGGAUAGUUGGGGGCAUUCAUAUUUCAUUGUCAGAGGUGAAAUUCUUGGAUUUAUGAAAGAUGAACUUCUGCGAAAGCAUUUGCCAAGGAUGUUUUCAUUAAUCAAGAACGAAAGUUAGGGGAUCGAAGACGAUUAGAUACCAU